GUUUGGGUCCUGCGCAAUGGGGCCCCAUGAACCAUGUCAGGUCCGGAAGGAAGCAGCAUUAAGUGGGUCACCCCAUGUGCCGCGGGGCAGCCUAAACCGA
rnacentral:SRP_RNA from 1 species